CUUCAUGACUGAAAUCCAUGACUACACAACACAUUAAGAAACUAUUUCACUCAGUCCUUCAAACAGUUCUGCUACAUAAUGGAGGUAUGUUUAAGCUCCAAAGAUGAUUCUCAAAUGUUUUAAUAUUAAAACAUUAAAAUACAAUUUUGUGCCCUGGAACUGGGACACAUGAGGAUGACUCCUAAAUGAGCUUUUAUUAUUUUUGCAAUAAUUUCAGCUUAGGAGCUUUGAGCAGCAUCAAGGUUUAAUUCAUAAAACACUCACCCUUUCAUUAACAUAGUUUUCCCAGUACACUUUUGAACUUAUUUUCUAAAUGGUUGUAUCUUUCCUCCUUUUCUUAAAGAUCAUGGGAGCAACUGUCUACUAGCUCCAUCUGGUACGCAGGCUGAGACCCUACCUGCCCGCAGACUGUCUCGCCAGAGUGGUGCAUGCUCUAGUUAUCUCCCACUUGGACUACUGCUAUGUGCUCUACGUGGGGCUACCUUUGAAAGUGACCCGGAAAAUACAACUAAUCCAGAAUGUGGCAGCUAGACUGGUGACUGGGGGCGGCCGCCGAGACCACAUAACACCAGUCUUGAAAGACCUACAUUGGCUCUUAGGACUUUUCUGAGCACAAGUCAAAGUGUUGGUAAUGACCUUUAAAGCCCUAAACGGCCUCAGCCCAGUAUACCUGAAGGAGCAUCUCCACCCCUAUCGUUCUGCCCGGACACUGAGGUCCAGCGCCGAGGCAAGGGCCUUCUGGCGGUUCCCUCACUGUGAGAAGCAAAGCUACAGGGAACCAGGCAGAGGGCCUUCUCGGUAGUGGCGCCCGCCCUGUGGAACGCCCUCC